GAUGAACGCUGACGGCGUGCCUAAUACAUGCAAGUCGAGCGAACGGACGAGGAGCUUGCUUCUCUGAUGUUAGCGGCGGACGGGUGAGUAACACGUGGAUAACCUACCUAUAAGACUGGGAUAACUUCGGGAAACCGGAGCUAAUACCGGAUAAUAUUUUGAACCGCAUGGUUCAAAAGUGAAAGACGGUCUUGCUGCCACUUAUAGAUGGAUCCGCGCUGCAUUAGCUAGUUGGUAAGGUAACGGCUUACCAAGGCAACGAUGCAUAGCCGACCUGAGAGGGUGAUAGGCCACACUGGAACUGAGACACGGUCCAGACUACUACGGGAGGCAGCAGUAGGGAAUCUGCCGCAAUGGGCGAAAGCCUGACGGAGCAACGCCGCGUGAGUGAUGAAGGUCUUCGGAUCGUAAAACUCUGUUAUUAGGGAAGAACAUAUGUGUAAGUAACUGUGCACAUCUUGACGGUACCUAAUCAGAAAGCCACGGCUAACUACGUG
rnacentral:rRNA from 1 species